rnacentral:rRNA from 1 species
AUACGUAGGGGGCAAGCGUUGUCCGGAUUUAUUGGGCGUAAAGGGUUCGCAGGCGGCCUUUUAAGUCAGAUGUGAAAGACUACAGCUCAACUGUGGUAAGCAUUUGAAACUGAAAGGCUUGAGUUAAGGAGGGGAAAGUGGAAUUCCUAGUGUAGCGGUGAAAUGCGUAGAUAUUAGGAGGAAUACCAGUGGCGAAGGCGACUUUCUGGACUUAUACUGACGCUGAGGAACGAAAGCGUGGGGAGC